GGCGAGUUUGAUCCUGGCUCAGGACGAACGCUGGCGGCGUGCUUAACACAUGCAAGUCGAGCGGAAAGGCCCUUCGGGGUACUCGAGCGGCGAACGGGUGAGUAACACGUGAGCAACCUGCCCUCAGCUCUGGGAUAGCUCCGGGAAACCGGAAUUAAUACCGGAUACUACUGCGGCCGACAUCGGCUGUGGUGGAAAGGAUUUCCGGCUGAGGAUGGGCUCGCGGCCUAUCAGCUAGUUGGUGAGGUAACGGCUCACCAAGGCCACGAUGCGUAGCCGACCUGAGAGGGUGAUCGGCCACACUGGGACUGAGACACGGCCCAGACUCCUACGGGAGGCAGCAGUAGGGAAUCUUCCGCAAUGGACGAAAGUCUGACGGAGCAACGCCGCGUGAGUGAUGAAGGUUUUCGGAUCGUAAAACUCUGUUGUUAGGGAAGAACAAGUACCGGAGUAACUGCCGGUACCUUGACGGUACCUAACCAGAAAGCCACGGCUAACUACGUGCCAGCAGCCGCGGUAAG
rnacentral:rRNA from 1 species